CUAUGUCCACAUCACCACUGCUGCCUUGCGAACAGGUUCAUCGGUACUAUCUUUCUAGAUUCGAUAUAUAUGCGUUUAUAUACAGCAUUUUUCUCUUUCUGACUUAAUUCCCUCUGUACAAUAGGCUCUGUGUUCAUCCAUCUCAUUGGAAUUGAUUCAAAUGUGUCCCUUUAUAUGGCUGAGUAAUAUUCCAUUGUAUAUAUGUACCACAGCUUUUUACCCAUUCAUCUGUCAAUGGGUAUCUAGGUUGUUUCCAUGACCUAGCUAUCGUAAAUAGUGCUAUAUUGAAAAAU